UACGAAGGGGGCUAGCGUUGUCCGGAAUUAUUGGGCGUAAAGAGCUCGUAGGCGGUUUGUCGCGUCUGCUGUGAAAACUCGGGGCUUAACCCCGGGCCUGCAGUGGGUACGGGCAGACUAGAGUGCGGUAGGGGAGACUGGAAUUCCUGGUGUAGCGGUGAAAUGCGCAGAUAUCAGGAGGAACACCGGUGGCGAAGGCGGGUCUCUGGGCCGUAACUGACGCUGAGGAGCGAAAGCGUGGGGAGCGAACAGG
rnacentral:rRNA from 1 species